rnacentral:lncRNA from 1 species
AGAAUUCUUCACUAAGUGAGAAGUCAUCUUCCGAAUCCUGGUCAUCUUCCGAAUCCGAGUCAUCUUCUGAACCUUGGUCAUCCUCCAUGCCUCCUAACACCGCUCUAGCUCCAUCCCUUGGUUCCUGAAGUUGGGCUAUUUGUUCUUCAACUUGGCGAAUGAAAGCAAUCAGUGCUCUGCGCACUUCAAGACUCAAUGGUAAGUCAUCUUCCGAAGCUCGGCAUCGACACAUUUUGAUUGUUUCUGGUGGCUCCUGGCAUGAUAUAAAAUGUUUAUGAGAAAGCAGACGGUAUCGCCAUCCAUCGUACAAUAUAUAUCAAAAACAACUACUGAAAACUGUAGAUUUAACGCGAAAUGAUGUCGGAAGAGGAGGCAUUCCAUUGAAUCGCUCAUCCAUCUCGCACACACAUACAUAUAUAUAUAUAUGUUCAUUUUUCCCUCUGGUGGACUGCAUUGUUCAUAUUUUGGGCUCAUUUUUUCCUUGGGACAUUUUCUCAGCAACCAAGCAAACAAAACACCGCGAACGUAAAUUCGACAUUCAACAAAAACAAACGAGAAACCGUAUAUCAAAUUCGAAAGCAGAUUACAUAAGAUGAGGUCGAAAUUAGUGAAUUAGAUGACGGAGGAAGAAGAAGGGCCUACCUCAGCUGAGAAAUCGGAGUUGGAGUUGGAGAGAGGGAGAGGGAGAGGGAGAGGAAGAAAUUUAAAGUGCGCGCGUUUACGGACGCGGUUUGUGCCGUUGGGAAUGGGAUUCCGCAGCCAUUUGGGUCAUUAGCAGCGGAUUUAUUUGAAACAAAAUAUGUUUGUGGAGAUGGCCCAAAACGAUAAUUGGGUUACAAAUUUGUUGGAGCCUAGGAGGAGUCCAAUACUGCUAAAGCCCAUUUUUCCAUUAGGGGAAAUUUCUCCUUUUUAGUUAAUUUUAUAGUGUUCUCGAGAGUAUAUUUAAGUUAAGUCAAACAAUGAUUAACCAGAUUCAAAUAUUGAACUCGUCGUUUAUAAACCGAACCUGAGACCUCCCUAAAGAAUGGAAUACCAUUAAUAGGUAGUGCUAGUUGUAGAAAGCUUUUGAAAAUGUCAUAUUCCAAUGUUUCUAUUAUUCUAUUACGAGAAAAAUCAGUCUUUAAUUUUGAGAUGAACUUUGACACUAGAGAUUUUUGAAAAGUUCGUAUUUUCCUUUUCUUAUAUGAGUGAUAACGUGAGAGGAGAGUUUGAACGCAUGACCUUAUGCAAGAGUAAAUGUUUUAUUAACUAAUUAAGUUUACAUACAUAUCCCUGACAACAUAUCUCUAACAUAAACUAAAUAUAUUGUUAUUUUUGCAUAUGGGGUUAGACAAGUUGGUUUGGGUAGAAUAUGUCUCUCGUGCACUCCAGUUUAAAAUCAUUUUCAUGAAUAAUAGUAGUAUAGAAUAUCACACUAUCCCAAAAAAAAAAAUCAUUAGAUCCUAAAAUAGUUAGAAUCUUAAAAGGCUAGUGUCACCGUCUCACCGUCUCACCCUCAAAUACUUUCACAAUUAUUUUUAAAAUAAACGUAUCCAAAAACCAUUAUUUUAAAAAUAAAUGUAGCCAUUCAACUUUAUAAUUAUCGUCAACUUACAACCACCAUCAUUCAAAUUAAUAAUCAACACUCAUCAUUAUCACUAUAUUUACACUCAACGAAUUUCAUGGUUGAAUGUCAUAGUCAUAGUCAUAACCAUAAAGUAAGAGUAUCAAUUCAUAAAUUCUAAUCAAAACUCUAAAUCAUAUCCUUUUCCUUGGCUAAAAAAACUAUCACAUUCCUAUUGGUUUCCAAAUCUCAAGUGCCAUAUUCAAAUGCUAGUUUAUAUGUUUUUCACAUACUAUGUCAUAUUCAUAGCAAGGCCUUGUUGCAAUAUUUUUAGGUCAAUGCCCUUGUUACACUAUAGGACAAAGCAAAAGCCACAUUAAGUUGUACACCAACAUAAAAUUAUUAGAGAGGGAUUUGGAUCCUCUCUUGAGCUAAUUGAGAGGAUCUUCUUGACCAAACAUUGUGGAC